AUAAUGAAACUCCCGUAUAGCUCUCGUCCGAACAGAGAAAAACUGUCGCAGGCAAAGGUACGGCUGCAUAGAGGUGCAGGGGUGAAAUUCCCGUGG
rfam:Acetonema longum DSM 6540 Contig00066, whole genome shotgun sequence.